GAUGAACGCUAGCGAUAGGCUUAACACAUGCAAGUCGAGGGGCAGCACAAGGUAGCUUGCUAUCUGGGUGGCGACCGGCGCACGGGUGCGUAACGCGUAUGCAACUUGCCCUAUACAGGAGGAUAACCCGUCGAAAGACGGACUAAUACUGCGUAUGCUCACAACUUGGCAUCAAGUGGUGAGGAAAGAAAUUCGGUAUAGGAUAGGCAUGCGUCCCAUUAGCUUGUUGGUGAGGUAACGGCUCACCAAGGCAACGAUGGGUAGGGGAACUGAGAGGUUUAUCCCCCACACUGGUACUGAGACACGGACCAGACUCAUACGGGAGGCAGCAGUGAGGAAUAUUGGUCAAUGGGCGAGAGCCUGAACCAGCCAAGUCGCGUGAAGGAUGACUGUCUUAUGGAUUGUAAACUUCUUUUAUACGGGAAUAACAAGAGUCACGUGUGACUCCCUGCAUGUACCGUAUGAAUAAGCAUCGGCUAACUCCGUG
rnacentral:rRNA from 1 species